GAAUGCUGACAUAAGUAACGAUAAAGCGGGUGAAAAGCCCGCUCGCCGGAAGACCAAGGGUUCCUGUCCAACGUUAAUCGGGGCAGGGUGAGUCGACCCCUAAGGCGAGGCCGAAAGGCGUAGUCGAUGGGAAACGGGUUAAUAUUCCCGUACUUGGUGUUACUGCGAAGGGGGGACGGAGAAGGCUAUGUUGGCCGGGCGACGGUUGUCCCGGUUUAAGCGUGUAGGUGUGUGUUCCAGGUAAAUCCGGUUCACUUUAACACUGAGGCGUGACGACGAGGCACUACGGUGCUGAAGCAACAAAUGCCCUGCUUCCAGGAAAAGCCUCUAAGCAUCAGGUAACAUCAAAUCGUACCCCAAACCGACACAGGUGGUCAGGUAGAGAAUACCAAGGCGCUUGAGAGAACUCGGGUGAAGGAACUAGGCAAAAUGGUGCCGUAACUUCGGGAGAAGGCACGCUGAUAUGUAGGUGAAGUGAUUUACUCAUGGAGCUGAA
rnacentral:rRNA from 1 species